GUUUUGAAUUACUGAAGAGUCAUUUGUAAACCAAUCAAGAGUAGGGAAAGGAGGUGCGCCGAUGUCUAAGACGAAAGAAGUAGCAAAGGAACGACAUUCUCCGAUGCUCCUUGUGAAACUCCAUACUUCAUCUUUCCAUUGUGAAGCUAAAUGUGAACUCGCAGAGACACCGACCACGAAUUGCAACCCUAUGCAAUCAAAAUCUGGAGAUAAAGAAGCCAAACUGGUUUUCAUAAGCUCGAAACGAAGAUAACGGACUAAUGAUUCAUCCAACCUAAAGCUCAACUUAUUGUUGUACAAAGUAUCCAAAGGUAACAUAGAACCUUUGGAAUUCGACGUGGAUUUUUCAACUUGACUUGAUGGAUGAUGGUUAUGAGAUUUCGACUUGCUAAAUGGCGAAAUCGGUGAGAAGCUGUUGAGUAACCCUUUAGAAGACAAUUUUCCUGGAGAUUUUUGGCUAGAAUUAUCAAGUUUCGAUGUUGGUAUUUCUGCUAGAAUGUCAUUAUCAAAAGAUUGUGAAUGAUGAGGAUCGAUGACCGUCCAAGUUCUGUUGGAAUCCGACCGGCGACGUGUAAAACAUAUGUCACUAUCAGGUAUUUUCAAGGUAGAAAAUGAGGACCUUCUUGUAUCGGAUGAGCCAGUCUUUUGAAGAGACAAAGAAUCGUUAUCUUCUGAAAGUCCACGAGGAGGUAGGCUAGGUUUGUCAUCAGGCCUAGGUGUGGUAGAAGACGAAGAAAUUGGCGGAGGUGGAGGACUCUCAGUAGGACGCGCAGGGGUUGAAUAUGCUGGAACAUUUGAGGUUGGAGCCAAGAAAUUAUUUGCUUCCUUAUUUUCAAUAAUGGGAGAAUUCGUUUCACUUCGAGCUUGUAAAAGAACAUUUUCGGAAACAACUCGAAAAUCAGAAUGGAAUUUACCUGACUUCGAGCUUAAAUUAUUAGU